GGCCAGGUAGCUCAGUUGAUUAGAGCAUUGUCCUGAUAUGCCAAGGUUGCAGGUUUGAUCCCUGGUCGGGGCA
rnacentral:tRNA from 1 species